GUUAUGUUUUUUAGGCGGCACAGAGGCCACUGAUCAUUCUUUUUCAUCAAGUGUUUGUGUAUUGCGACAUCAGGCGGGGCUCUCGCCACCACCCUCCGCCGUAAAGGUGCACAGGGGUUUGUGAAGGUUGAACGCGGCGGGCGACCCGCUGCAAAGGACCCCUUUUGGAGGUACCCGAGCUGGGCCGGCCCGCCUCGUCAAAGAUACGUUAAUGAUCCUUCCGCAGGUUCACCUACGGAAA
rnacentral:misc_RNA from 1 species